rnacentral:rRNA from 1 species
UACGUAGGGGCCUAGCGUUGUCCGGAAUUAUUGGGCGUAAAGAGCUCGUAGGCGGUUCGGCAAGUCGGAUGUGAAAUCUCCACGCUUAACGUGGAGGGGCCAUUCGAAACUGCCGUGACUCGAGUCCGGUAGGGGAGUGUGGAAUUCCCGGUGUAGCGGUGAAAUGCGCAGAUAUCGGGAGGAACACCGGUGGCGAAGGCGGUUCUCUGGGCCUUACCUGACGCUGAGGAGCGAAAGCGUGGGGAGCGAACAGG